CAGCCGCCGCGGUAAUACGGAGGGUGCGAGCGUUAAUCGGAAUUACUGGGCGUAAAGCGUGCGCAGGCGGUUUGUUAAGACAGAUGUGAAAUCCCCGGGCUUAACCUGGGAACUGCAUUUGUGACUGGCCGGCUAGAGUAUGGCAGAGGGAGGUGGAAUUCCACGUGUAGCAGUGAAAUGCGUAGAUAUGUGGAGGAACACCGAUGGCGAAGGCAGCCUCCUGGGCCAAUACUGACGCUCAUGCACGAAAGCGUGGGGAGCAAACAGGAUUAGAUACCCGGGUAGUCCCUGUCUCUUAUAC
rnacentral:rRNA from 1 species